rnacentral:rRNA from 1 species
CCUACGGGAGACAGCAGUGGGGAAUAUUGGGCAAUGGGCGCAAGCCUGACCCAGCAACGCCGCGUGAAGGAAGAAGGCUUUCGGGUUGUAAACUUCUUUUGUCAGGGAAGAGUAGAAGACGGUACCUGACGAAUAAGCCACGGCUAACUACGUGCCAGCAGCCGCGGUAAUACGUAGGUGGCAAGCGUUGUCCGGAUUUACUGGGUGUAAAGGGCGUGUAGCCGUGUUUACAAGUCAGAUGUGAAAUCCUGCGGCUUAACCGCAGAACUGCAUUUGAAACUGUUGAUCUUGAGUACUGGAGAGGCAGACGGAAUUCCUAGUGUAGCGGUGAAAUGCGGAGAUAUUAGGAGGAACACCAGUGGCGAAGGCGGUCUGCUGGACAGCAACUGACGGUGAGGCGCGAAAGCGUGGGGAGCAAACAGGAUUAGAUACCCCAGUAGUC